AAGUCGUAACAAGGUUUCCGUAGGUGAACCUGCGGAAGGAUCAUUAAUACGUUUCUAAACAAACGUUUUAAACUCCAAAAUAUUAAUAGUGGAAAUAUAACUUCCGGAUGCAUUUGUAGGAGGGCAGAUAAGACUAACAUUUGAUCUCUCUUUUGAAAAGGAGACUUCAUGCACUUUAUUGUGUGUGACACUUCAGAGUAGAGCAGUGAGGUGAAAACUUCGGUUUUGGUUUCUGAAAUACAUCUGUAUCCGGUUAUUCUCUGUUCUACAACCCUUUUAUUAAACAAUAAACCCCAUGUACAACAACUUGAACUAAACAAAUUUUGUUUUCUCUCUGUGAGAAGAUGAAGUAAAAUCUGAACUUAAGAACAACUCUUAACAACGGAUAUCUUGGUUCUC
rnacentral:misc_RNA from 1 species